GGGAAAUAUGGACCCUAAUAGAGACUACACAUCAAAUUCUUUCCAUGAUGCAAGUCUUCACAGAAGACAAAACCAAUGCAUGGAGCAGGUGAACGUCAAGGACAACGCCUUUGAAAUCUUAUGGGGAAAUUACACUCCAAAGUAGAAUCAUAUCCCAGCUAAGAAGGCCUCAUGGUGGGUAAGCAACAACUUUUCAGUCUUUAGGCAAGUUCUUGGGAGCCCAUCAAUCUGCCAAUCAGAAGAAAAGGCAAAAGGACCAGCAGGAGUCACGGCUGCACGGAAACAGCUACCAUCCCAUAAAAUUAUUGCCUUUACCAAAUUGGAAUAAACCUGUCAAGACGA
rnacentral:lncRNA from 1 species